AUUGAACGCUGGCGGCAGGCUUAACACAUGCAAGUCGAGCGGGGGAGGUUGCUUCGGUAACUGACCUAGCGGCGGACGGGUGAGUAAUACUUAGGAAUCUGCCUAUUAAUGGGGGACAACAUCUCGAAAGGGAUGCUAAUACCGCAUACGCCCUACGGGGGAAAGCAGGGGAUCACUUGUGACCUUGCGUUAAUAGAUGAGCCUAAGUCGGAUUAGCUAGUUGGUGGGGUAAAGGCCUACCAAGGCGACGAUCUGUAGCGGGUCUGAGAGGAUGAUCCGUCACUGUGGGAGUGAGACACGGCCCAGACUCCUACGGGAGGCAGCAGUGGUGAAUAUUGGACAAUGGGGGGAACCCUGAGCCAGCAAUGCCGCGUGUGUGAAGAAGGCCUUAUGGUUGUAAAGCACUUUAAGCGAGGAGGAGGCUCUUUUGGUUAAUACCCAAGAUGAGUGGACGUUACUCGCAGAAUAAGCACCGGCUAACUCUGUGCCAGCAGCCGCGGUAAUAC
rnacentral:rRNA from 1 species